rnacentral:rRNA from 1 species
CUUCCUACGGGUGGCUGCAGUGGGGAAUAUUGGACAAUGGGGGAAACCCUGAUCCAGCAAUGCCGCGUGGGUGAUGAAGGCCUUCGGGUUGUAAAGCCCUUUUGGCGGGGACGAUGAUGACGGUACCCGCAGAAGAAGCCCCGGCUAACUUCGUGCCAGCAGCCGCGGUAAUACGAAGGGGGCUAGCGUUGUUCGGAAUUACUGGGCGUAAAGGGCGCGUAGGCGGCCCUGCGCGUCGAGCGUGAAAGGCCUGGGCUCAACCCAGGAACGGCGCUCGAGACGGCAGGGCUAGAGUGCAGGAGAGGAUGGUGGAAUUCCCAGUGUAGAGGUGAAAUUCGUAGAUAUUGGGAAGAACACCGGUGGCGAAGGCGGCCAUCUGGACUGCAACUGACGCUGAGGCGCGAAAGCGUGGGGAGCAAACAGGAUUAGAUACCCUAGUAGUC